AGAGACCGGCGCACGGGUGCGUAACGCGUAUGCAAUCUACCUUUUACAGAGGGAUAGCCCAGAGAAAUUUGGAUUAAUACCUCAUAGCAUAGUGACUCGGCAUCGAGAUACUAUUAAAGUCACAACGGUAAAAGAUGAGCAUGCGUCCCAUUAGCUAGUUGGUAAGGUAACGGCUUACCAAGGCUACGAUGGGUAGGGGUCCUGAGAGGGAGAUCCCCCACACUGGUACUGAGACACGGACCAGACUCCUACGGGAGGCAGCAGUGAGGAAUAUUGGACAAUGGGCGCAAGCCUGAUCCAGCCAUGCCGCGUGCAGGAUGACGGUCCUAUGGAUUGUAAACUGCUUUUGUACGAGAAGAAACACUCCUUCGUGAAGGAGCUUGACGGUAUCGUAAGAAUAAGGAUCGGCUAACUCCGUGCCAGCAGCCGCGGUAAUACGGAGGAUCCAAGCGUUAUCCGGAAUCAUUGGGUUUAAAGGGUCCGUAGGCGGUUUAGUAAGUCAGUGGUGAAAGCCCAUCGCUCAACGGUGGAACGGCCAUUGAUACUGCUAAACUUGAAUUAUUAGGAAGUAACUAGAAUAUGUAGUGUAGCGGUGAAAUGCUUAGAGAUUACAUGGAAUACCAAUUGCGAAGGCAGGUUACUACUAAUGGAUUGACGCUGAUGGACGAAAGCGUGGGUAGCGAACAGGAUUAGAUACCCUGGUAGUCCACGCCGUAAACGAUGGAUACUAGCUGUUGGAAGCAAUUUCAGUGGCUA
rnacentral:rRNA from 1 species